AGGUCUUUAGUAUUCGGAGCUAAGUAGUAUGGUGCCCGACAGCAACUCCUUAGCUUGCAUCUUCAAAAAUAAACCUACUUCCAUCUUUAAUGUCUCAAUUUUUCCCUUUCAGGGUUCUUUUGAAGACCCUAACCUGGAGUUACAUGCUGACUACGGUUCUUUGCGGGAAUGGGACCCACUCUCGGGGUUCCACAAUUGGCCACUAUUCGGCAUGCCAAAGUCUUGGCCUAAGAUUUCAGCAUGGAUUCAGAAGCCUAGGAUCACAAGUAACUGAGGAGUAACUGAAGUAAGGAGACGGGCGAAUGAAAGGUCGGUGUUGCCACAGGAGAUCCGUGUGUCAUUGGGAGAGUCAGAACACCUACUGUGUCCCUGGGGACUUGGGAUCCUUGUGAUCUUCAGGCACAGAGCUCAGAAAAAGUGACAUAACAGACUUUUAACGUUGUAAUCCAGCGAGUUGUCUGUUAUCUCUUUUGCUUGUUGGAAAAUGGAAUGGAGUGACCUCCUUCUCCCUUACUAGGAGAGAGAGAGCCUACAGCAUGUCGAAUUAUCAGACUUUGGAAUAAGCAAGAGAAUUCAGAGAAGACAAUAUUCCCAUUGUUGGCUGAAUAUCUGCCCAGUAACUCCGAAGUUGCUUUAAGAGACAUUAAUUUUUGAACAAAGCACGUUUAGCAAUGGAUCAGUGGUGCUCAAUUUUUCUGAUGGGAAGGACGACUAACAUGAAUGCAGGAAUUUAAUCAUCAUAUUAGCACAACAGCAGGCAUGGAAGACUAGUGGCUGCAUCUUCUAAACAAUGAUGAAAAGAAGGAAAAAUGGAUUCACUGAAUAGGAAGAUCUGCCAAAAGAAGGAAGAGGAGAAGGGGUCUGAAUAACAGAUAAACAAGGUGUUUGCAGCUGAACAAAGCAUCAAUAAAGAGACAUGCUAUCACUUUAUUUGACAUCUUGUAGUCAACAAGUUUGAUAUUGGCAUGCCAUACUGCAGAUGAGCUGCUUGUGGGAGGACAUAAUACGUCUUUCAGUUCCUGAACACCUCAGUGUAAAUCAAGCCGGCUGCUCGUGUUUAAUAUUUAUACAUACUAAAUGUCUUAGACCAGUUCAGAAUUAGGUUCUAUUUGUGGUAGGUUAUUGGGCAAGAGUGGUCAAUAAAUGUUAUGAAUGUUGCCAAGGUUUAUUGCAAACAAUUUCAUGACUAGGAUCAGAACAGUCUAAAUUCUAGACCAGGCAUGGGCAAACUACUGCCCGCGGGCCAUAUGUGGCCCGUUAAGCUUUUUAAUCCGGCCCGCAGAACUUGAUGAAAUUAUAUUAAUAAACCUUGUUAACGUUUUUUCCCCGCAAUUCUGGCGUCUUCCCAAUAGAUGACGCACUCUAUAUACAUUGACCUUUGUUGAGGUGCAGCGUAUUACUCCACAUCUGUGCUUUACUUUGUGAUCUUGUGGCGACCCAUUUCCUGGCACAUCCGAACCGGCUCACAAUUAGCCAGCGUUCCGGCUAAGGGAGAUAGCCUGCGGGGAUUUGUGAGCACAGAGCUCCGCAUAUUGGCAUGCUCUCACUGUUCUGUCAUUGUGUGGGCCGUUGUUGAGUUUUGUCACAGGGGACAAUUGAAUAAGAAGGAGCAGGACAAGUAGACCUGCAUCUCCUACCGUUUUUGAAAUAAAGACAGUCAGGAGGAGAGUGAUGAUGAUAAUAUCUUG